rnacentral:rRNA from 1 species
UAAGGAAUAUUGGACAAUGGCCGCAAGGCUGAUCCAGCCAUGCCGCGUGCAGGAAGACGGACCUAUGGUUUGUAAACUGCUUUUGAACGGGAGAAAACCCCCCUACGUGUAGGGGGCUGAUAGUACCGUUAGAAUAAGCAUCGGCUAACUUCGUGCCAGCAGCCGCGGUAAGACGAAGGAUGCAAGCGUUAUCCGGAUUCAUUGGGUUUAAAGGGAGCGUAGGCGGACUUGUAAGUCAGUGGUGAAAUCUGUGGGCUUAACCCACAAACUGCCAUUGAUACUGCAGGUCUAGAGUACAGUUGCCGUUGGCGGAAUAUGACAUGUAGUGGUGAAAUACUUAGAUAUGUCAUAGAACACCGAUUGCGAAGGCAGCUAACGAAGCUGUAACUGACGCUGAGGCUCGAAAGUGCGGGGAUCAAACAGG